ACACGACUACAUUAGAUACCCGGGUAGUCCUAGCCGUAAACGAUACUUGCUAGGUGUCGGCCACGGUGCGACCGUUGUCGGUGCCGUAUGGAAGCCGUGAAGCGAGCCACCUGGGAAGUACGGCCGCAAGGCUGAGACUUAAAGGAAUUGGCGGGGAGCACCACAACGGGUGGAGCUUGCGGUUUAAUUGGAUUCAACGCCGGAAAUCUUACCGGGACCGACAGCAACAUGAAGGCCAGGCUGAAGACUUUGCCGGAUUAGCUG
rnacentral:rRNA from 1 species